GCUUACACAGCCACCAGGACACACAUGACCCUAGCUCCUAGAGCUGAUGCCACAACUCUGCGGAGACCAGGACAAUAGCCAGGGACAAGCAUGUCAUCCUGGAGUCACACACACUGGAAGUAUCCAGAAGAGAGCGAGUUAUCUCUUCUGGCCCAUUUUUUUCUUGCUGUUCAGUGUGAACAAGGGCAGCAGGAGGGCAUGGACACACUCAAUGAGGAUCCAGGAAUUGGGAGUUCUAGAGGAGGCAGGCUCCCAGCGUGUUGGAAUGUGAGGCUGUUCUGAAGGCCGAAAUGGCUCCAUCACAAGGACCCCUACCUCCCUGUCUGUCCAGGAUGGCCGUCAUCAUCCUGGCAUCCCCCUCCACGGUCCCGGUCUGGGUGAUGCAACCUUGCCCCCACCCCCAAGAAUGUACACAGGAAACAAAACACAGAUGUGGCUGCCUGCCGUGAUGUAGCCCUACUCUUCCUCCAAAAUCCUAUGCGACACCUCCUGACCUGCAGCCACAGAUCAGCACCACGGGAGCUCCAGCUUCCAUGGCUCUGCUGAGGGCUGGUGUGUGCUAUGACUGCCUCUUGCAAGUCAUUGCCUCCUGCAGCGUCUGAGAUUCGAACCAUACAUCCAGACCCAUUCCGACCCAUUCCCCAGCAACUGUACUGAAAUAAAGACAAAGAAAUAG
rnacentral:lncRNA from 1 species